UACGUAGGGUGCGAGCGUUAAUCGGAAUUACUGGGCGUAAAGCGUGCGCAGGCGGUUCGUUGUGUCGGCGGUGAAAGCCCCGGGCUUAACCUGGGAAUGGCCGUCGAAACUGGCGAACUGGAGUGUGGCAGAGGGGGGUGGAAUUCCGCGUGUAGCAGUGAAAUGCGUAGAUAUCGGAAGGAACACCAGUGGCGAAGGCGGCUACCUGGCCUGAUACUGACACUGAGGCACGAAAGCGUGGGGAGCAAACAGG
rnacentral:rRNA from 1 species